rnacentral:lncRNA from 1 species
UCCUGCAGCUCCUGCAGCUGGUGAAGUUUGGCAAAUGGGGCUCCAGGAAGGAGGUCAUGCACGUCUCAAGGGAACUUGCAGCUGGAUUCAGCAAAUUGUACAAUUAGAUGGUUGGACGCUGGUGCUACUAAGUUUGUGUUGACAUGAGUGUCAAAAAAACAUCUUACGUUAUGGGACUGAGGGAGUAGUUCAUAGUAAUCUGCUAGGAAUUUAGAUACUUAUUAGGAGUAGUACUGUGUGACACACUAUUAAGAGAAAUUCACACGUGCGUGCAGUCUAGAUAUUGUGUAUGAGAGUGACUGGGAGUGGUAAGUAUCGUGUCAGUGAUUAAUGUUGCCUCAUUUUUCUUAUUCAUUAUUUGUUAUCCGCAAGGCGCAUUUCUCUCAUGCCAAAAUUGCAGAUUACCUUCUCUUUUUUUUUUGAAAGACCUUCUCUUAUUUAUUAUUUUGUUAUUCGCAAGGCUUUUGUUGAAACAAGUGUAAUUUGAACAUGGGCUGAGCCCAUAAGCCACAACUCCACUCAACCGAGAGGAUGUU